GUACAUAGCUCUGUGGUAGAGUGCUUGCCUAGCAAGUGUGAAGCCCUGGGUUCUAUCCCCAGUGUUACC
rnacentral:tRNA from 1 species